rnacentral:rRNA from 1 species
CCUACGGGAGGCUGCAGUGAGGAAUAUUGGUCAAUGGGCGGAAGCCUGAACCAGCCAAGUCGCGUGAGGGAAUAAGGCCCUACGGGUCGUAAACCUCUUUUGCCGGGGAGCAAGGGCCGGGACGAGUCCCGGUCCGGAGAGUACCCGGAGAAAAAGCAUCGGCUAACUCCGUGCCAGCAGCCGCGGUAAUACGGAGGAUGCGAGCGUGAUCCGGUUGUAUCGGGUUUAAAGGGUGCGUAGGCGGGCUGUUAAGUCAGCGGUAAAAAUUCGGGGCUCAACCCCGUCCGGCCGUUGAAACUGGGGGCCUUGAGUGGGCGAGAAGAAGGCGGAAUGCGUGGUGUAGCGGUGAAAUGCAUAGAUAUCACGCAGAACCCCGAUUGCGAAGGCAGCCUUCCGGCGCCCUACUGACGCUGAGGCACGAAAGUGCGGGGAUCGAACAGGAUUAGAUACCCCAGUAGUC